GACGAACGCUGGCGGCGCGCUUAACACAUGCAAGUCGAACGGAAAGGCCUGCUUUCCCUUGUGGAUUGCGGGUACUCGAGUGGCGAACGGGUGAGUAACACGUGAGUGAUCUGCCCCCAACUUGGGUAUAAGCCUGGGAAACUGGGUCUAAUUCCCGAUAGGACUGCAGGGUGGUGCCUGUGGUGGAAAACGAUUUUCUAGUGGUUGGGGAUGAGCUCGCGGCCUAUCAGCUUGUUGGUGGGGUAAUGGCCUACCAAGGCGGCGACGGGUAGCCGGCCUGAGAGGGUGGACCGCGACAUUGAGACUGAGAUACGGCCCAGACUCCUACGGGAGGCAGCAGUGGGGAAGAUUGCACGAUGGGCGGAAGCCUGAUGCAGCGACGCCGCGUGGGGGAUGACGGCCUUCGGGUUGUAAACUCCUUUCGACCGCGAGGAAGCCACCUGGUUGGAAGGGUGGUGACGGUAGUGGUAGAAGAAGCACCGGCUAACUACGUG
rnacentral:rRNA from 1 species